rnacentral:lncRNA from 10 species
GGGGCUCUGGCUGUCCUGGAGUCAGGCUCUAAUACCAGCACCACCACUCACUACCAAGGCAAAUCGCUUUAUUCUCAGAGCCUCAGCUUCUUGCUUGAGAACCACGUCAUAAAGCUGUUGUAAGGACUGAGUGAAAUAAGACACAUGAAUUCUUAGCACAGAACCUGGCAUGUGCUAUUUGCACAGUAUCUGUUAGCCACGAUUAUAUUUGUUGUUAUCAAAUGUAGUAUUAUUAAAAUCAAUAGUUUGGAAGGAGCCGGAGUAAAGUUUCCCUGUGUCAGGAAUGAUCAUCCAGGCAGGUGGAGCAGCCUGAACAACCCCAUCCUGCAGCCGCCAGACGUGGACGCCUGGGGUCAGGGAGAAUAGUGAGGGUCAGCAUCGGG